rnacentral:rRNA from 1 species
GGUUAAGCGACUAAGCGUACACGGUGGAUGCCCUGGCAGUCAGAGGCGAUGAAGGACGUGCUAAUCUGCGAUAAGCGUCGGUAAGGUGAUAUGAACCGUUAUAACCGGCGAUUUCCGAAUGGGGAAACCCAGUGUGAUUCGUCACACUAUCA